UUGCUAAUAUUCCCUAUCUUGACGUCUCUUAAAUAAAAAUCCAGAUAGGAUUCUGCCUCAAGAAACAAAGACGGUAUGAUGAAGGACGAAGGCACUCCACAAAUGAGGUUUUGGCCAUAUUUGGGAGGCCUGAAGAACUAAUGAACUAUGCAUGUCACCUUUUGGUUUCAGCAAAAGGGAAUUUGGAUUGAGCUUAGAGUUGAUGUAAACAGUUAAGAACCAAUCCAUCUAGAGUUCAACCGUUAUUGAUUUGCUUAUGUUUAGAGGUAAGCUUGUGAUUAAGCUAGAUUGGCCCCAGCCCUAGGAGAUGUCAUUGUAACCCCCAAAUUGAGUAAUAUUUUACAUGGUAUAUUGUGUAGGAUUCAAGUAUUCUCUCAACAACAAGAAUUAUGAAAUGGUUCCAUAAGGAUGGUCUGAGCUUGAAAAAUGCAGAAAAUGAGGCCAGCUCCCAGCUGCUGAGACAUCUCUCAUGAGAACUUAAAGAACUUAGAUUUUUGCCAAUUAUUUUUCAAUUCUUGGGGCCACUGACAAAUGAGGUUUACAUCCAGUCUGACAGAGUUACUCUACUUUUUGCAAAAUGAUCGGAGUCCAUUUGCAUAAUGGUUGAACUGAUGGCAAGAUUUACUAAUUAUGCUCAACUGCACAUAAGCUUAAUAUGCCUAAUUUACUAUAUAUGUGAUAUCUGAACUUCCUCAACUUGUUGUGAGUGUAUGGUUCAAAGAGAAACUAUCAUGCAUCCAUUACACGGGAAAAUGAAAGUUUUCCCCCCUUACAAUCCA